rnacentral:rRNA from 1 species
GACGAACGCUGGCGGCGUGCUUAACACAUGCAAGUCGAACGGAAAGGCCCUGCUUUUGUGGGGUGCUCGAGUGGCGAACGGGUGAGUAACACGUGAGUAACCUGCCCUUGACUUUGGGAUAACUUCAGGAGACUGGGGAUAAUACCGGAUAGGAGCUCCUGCUGCAUGGUGGGGGUUGGAAAGUUUCGGCGGUUGGGGAUGGACUCGCGGCUUAUCAGCUUGUUGGUGGGGUAGUGGCUUACCAAGGCUUUGACGGGUAGCCGGCCUGAGAGGGUGACCGGCCACAUUGGGACUGAGAUACGGCCCAGACUCCUACGGGAGGCAGCAGUGGGGAAUAUUGCACAAUGGGCGGAAGCCUGAUGCAGCAACGCCGCGUGCGGGAUGACGGCCUUCGGGUUGUAAACCGCUUUCGCCUGUGACGAAGCGUGAGUGACGGUAAUGGGUAAAGAAGCACCGGCUAACUACGUG